AAUGAUUGGCUGAUUAGGUUGCAUUCUCAUUUUGGAUUCAUGUGUUUGCAGCUCUGCUUAUUUCCUCAUUCGAACCAGUUCCCUCUUGUAUGGUGAAUAUUUGAUAGGCAUUUAAGAGCUAUAUCAUAUCAUGCAACAGCUUUAAGACUCCAUGUUUCUGAAAUUAUAGCCUUUGCAACUUCAUUGUCCUGAUCAGAUUUUUGUCUGAACAAUGAAACUCAUCACUUGGAAUUUGACUAUGCAGAUAUUUUCAGUAUGGAGGCCUGAGCUACUCAACCAAUGAAGUCGGUACAGUUCUUGUUAUCUCAGGUAUGCAGAACAUCCUCGCUCUUGAUGUCUAGUGUUUUAGUGAUAACAAGUUAAGAAACUGCUAGGACCUAGUUGAUAUUUCCUUUGAUGCUUCUUUGUUGAUUAUACAUAUGUACUGC
rnacentral:lncRNA from 1 species